UGCUCAAUGAAUUUUCAAUAGCCGCAAUACUGUGCUAAGGUAGCAUAAUCAUUUGCCUGAUAAUUUCAGGAUAGAAUGAAUGGUCUAACAUGAGAUCAUCUUUAUUAUUUUAAUUAAAUUAACUUAAUCUAUGAGUAAAAAAACUCAUAUUUAUUAGAAGGACGACAAGACCCUGUUAAACUUUACUUUUUAGUUUCACUGGGGCGGUAAAAAACUAAAUCUUUUUUUUUUUAUUUUUCUAAUCCUUACUUUUGAUAAAUAAGUUACUACAGGGAUAACAGCAUAAUUUUUUUUUAAAGACCGUAUUUAAAAAAGAGAUUGUGACCUCGAUGUUGAAUAAAUGAUCUCUUAAAAGCAAAAUUUUAAGAAGAAAGUCUGUUCGACUUUUAAAAUUUUACA
rnacentral:rRNA from 1 species